rnacentral:rRNA from 1 species
UACGUAGGGGGCAAGCGUUGUCCGGAUUUAUUGGGCGUAAAGAGCGUGUAGGCGGCCAUACAGGUCAGCUGUGAAAACUCGAGGCUCAACCUCGAGACGUCGGUUGAAACCGUAUGGCUAGAGUCCGGAAGAGGAGAGUGGAAUUCCCGGUGUAGCGGUGAAAUGUGCAGAUAUCGGGAAGAACACCCGUGGCGAAGGCGGCGCUCUGGGACGGUACUGACGCUGAGACGCGAAAGCGUGGGGAGCGAACAGG